rnacentral:rRNA from 1 species
CCUACGGGUGGCAGCAGUGAGGAAUAUUGGUCAAUGGACGCAAGUCUGAACCAGCCAUGCCGCGUGCAGGAAGAAGGUUCAGUGAGUUGUAAACUUCUUUUGUCAGGGGGCAAACGCUGGUACGCGUCUCCGUAUGAAAGUAUCGUACGAAUAAGCAUCGGCUAACUCCGUGCCAGCAGCCGCGGUAAUACGGAGGAUUCGAGCGUUAUCCGGAUUUAUUGGGUUUAAAGGGUGCGUAGGCGGUCUGUUAAGUUAGCGGUGAAAUCCCGGGGCUCAACGACGGCACUGCCUUUGAUACUGGGCGGCUAGAGUUGAGGAGAGGUAUGCGGAAUGCAUGGUGUAGCGGUGAAAUGCAUAGAGAU